rnacentral:rRNA from 1 species
ACUACAUGUACAGGAUAGGUGGGAGGCUUUGAAACCAGGACGCCAGUUUUGGCGGAGCCAUCCUUGGGAUACCACCCUUGUAGUACUGGGACUCUAACCAUAGGCCAUGAAUCUGGUCUUGGGACACUGUCAGGUGGGCAGUUUGACUGGGGCGGUCGCCUCCCAAAAGGUAACGGAGGCGCUCAAAGGUUCUCUCAGUACGGUCGGAAAUCGUACGUAGAGGGUAAAGGCAAAAGAGAGCUUGAUUGCAAGACAUACAGGGCGAGCAAGGAUGAAAAUCGGACUUAGUGAUCCGGUGGUUCUGCGUGGAAGGGCCAUCGCUCAACGGAUAAAAGCUACCCUGGGGAUAACAGGCUUAUCUCCCCCAAGAGUCCACAUCGACGGGGAGGUUUGGCACCUCGAUGUCGGCUCAUCACAUCCUGGGGCUGUAGUAG